rnacentral:rRNA from 1 species
CCUACGGGAGGCAGCAGUGGGGAAUAUUGCACAAUGGGGGAAACCCUGAUGCAGCGACGCCGCGUGAAGGAAGAACUAUUUCGGUAUGUAAACUUCUAUCAGCAGGGAAGAAAAUGACGGUACCUGACUAAGAAGCCCCGGCUAACUAUGUGCCAGCAGCCGCGGUAAU